rnacentral:ncRNA from 1 species
GAUUCAAAAGAUGGUGUACUAUGUCUAAGUAGGGAGAAGCCAAAUGAAAUUCUAAUUGAAGUUUGUAGCAAUAUUAACACACAAAUCAUUCAACAAACUUAAAUAUGUAAAUGAAAGAGUAAUCAAACCACCUAAUAGUUGG